rnacentral:rRNA from 1 species
CUGGCGGCGUGCCUAAUACAUGCAAGUCGAACGCACUCUCGUUUAGAUUGAAGGAGCUUGCUCUGAUUGAUAACAUUUGAGUGAGUGGCGGACGGGUGAGUAACACGUGGGUAACCUGCCCUAAGUGGGGGAUAACAUUUGGAAACAGAUGCUAAUACCGCAUAAAACCUAACACCGCAUGGUGUAGGGUUGAAAGAUGGUUUCGGCUAUCACUUUAGGAUGGACCCGCGGUGCAUUAGUUAGUUGGUGAGGUAAAGGCUCACCAAGACCGUGAUGCAUAGCCGACCUGAGAGGGUAAUCGGCCACACUGGGACUGAGACACGGCCCAGACUCCUACGGGAGGCAGCAGUAGGGAAUCUUCCACAAUGGACGAAAGUCUGAUGGAGCAACGCCGCGUGAGUGAAGAAGGUUUUCGGAUCGUAAAACUCUGUUGUUGGAGAAGAAUGUAUCUGAUAGUAACUGAUCAGGUAGUGACGGUAUCCAACCAGAAAGCCACGGCUAACUACGUG